rnacentral:rRNA from 1 species
AGUGAACGCUGGCGGUAGGCCUAACACAUGCAAGUCGAACGGCAGCACAGUAAGAGCUUGCUCUUACGGGUGGCGAGUGGCGGACGGGUGAGGAGUACAUCGGAAUCUACUUUUUCGUGGGGGAUAACGUAGGGAAACUUACGCUAAUACCGCAUACGACCUACGGGUGAAAGCAGGGGAUCUUCGGACCUUGCGCGAUUGAAUGAGCCGAUGUCGGAUUAGCUAGUUGGCGGGGUAAAGGCCCACCAAGGCGACGAUCCGUAGCUGGUCUGAGAGGAUGAUCAGCCACACUGGAACUGAGACACGGUCCAGACUCCUACGGGAGGAAGCAGUGGGGAAUAUUGGACAAUGGGCGCAAGCCUGAUCCAGCCAUACCGCGUGGGUGAAGAAGGCCUUCGGGUUGUAAAGCCCUUUUGUUGGGAAAGAAAAGCAGCAGGUUAAUACCCCGCUGUUCUGACGGUACCCAAAGAAUAAGCACCGGCUAACUUCGUG